GAUACCCCCAGUCAAUCUCCUAGGAUUCCACUGACUCCAGAUUUUGAUGGAGUAAAAGAUGAGAAACAGCCAGAUGAAUCUCUUGAAGAAUCCCAGCCAUUCAAAUCAGAUCCCCCCUGGAUAUCCAUGUACAUCCCUGUGAGAAGCUGCCAUAGAGAACUGAGAACGAAAUAUGGAGAAUUUUAUCCCCCAAAGUACCUGAAUGGCUUUGAAGGAAAUAUUUGGUGCAACUGGACUGUUUGGGCCGGUUCUAGGAAAAACAUCAUUAUUUAUAUCAGUGGCUUUAAAAGUGAUGAGGGCUGUGACAAAAAUGAGAAUAAGAUUUUCUUUCAUGGAGUUUCUUCGGUUGCAGAGAACACUGUGGUCUAUGCUUGCUGGGGAAAAGAGACCCAUGUUUUUGCUACCUAUGCUAAAGCUGUUCAUGUGAUCUCCCUGACGAGGCAUCCCAAUCCUACUAAGAAAGAUGGAUUUGUGGGCAAAUACUAUAUCUUCCAGCCCAGGGAAGCAAGGCCUGAUUCCAUGGAUCCCUUUGGCUCUGCAAUGCCUUCUCUGGAACUAGUCCUCACAGCCAUAACCAGCAUUCCUCAAGCCAAGGAAGCAUCUUUACUGUUCACCUUUAACCGUUCAAAUGCUCACAUCUCUGAAAGUCUUGAGGCUGACAAUCAAACAGUUGGGUUGUUGGAAACAAGUAGAAAAAGUGCAAGUAUCACAGCAAUUACAGGUUCGGCUAGAAAAUCAAAAAGUCUCCACUUGCUGUCCACAGCUUUGAAGGGCAGUGAAAAUUCUUCUUGCACUCCAAAUCCUUCUGAUAAAUUAAUAGGAGUCAUGGACUGUGUGCACUGGAGAAUGAACAAUGGAGAAAUCCCAGUGGGCCUGGGUGAGUCUACCACUUCUUCCAAUGUUGUUUCAGAUGUUUCUUACGUAGAGUCAGGACUACUGACAGAAGCUGCUAGUCCUGUAGAAGAUAUGGGACAUCCAAGCAGACUGUUAAGUUCUCCUUUGGGACUUCUUAUGAACGAUUAUCAAUGGAUGAAGAGUAAAUUAACACAGCAGGAUUAUCUUGCCAUGGUUAUGCCUUCUCUAAUGAUUCCUUCUAGCAUGGUGACCACUGACAGAAAGAGUCCUGGAUCCAUAAUUUAUCAGAGUUUUGGAGACGUUCAACUAGCAAUGCAUGAAGCAAUGGGCAGAGGCGUCGUUGUCUUUGGAACUACCUCGCUUUCCAGUCUGGGACACACCUGUAUGGGCUUGACAAGCCAGAAUGACUACCUGCUUGUUCCUGCAAAGACACAAGAAAGAGGAAAACAAGAAAGCAAGGCAAAUUGUUCUAUACUCAUAAUCAAUUAUGCCAAUUCAUCUGAUGAACGGGAAGCCAGAAAUGUGCUAGUCCUAAAGAGCAAUACUGAGCUCUGGGAUAUUGGUCCCGUUACAGAAACCUUUGUAGAGUUAACCAACCAGCCAGAAGCCCCUUUGGCUACAGCAUUGCCAUCCAGUGUGUUGGAAGUAGAACUGAACUUGAGACCCGGAAGCAGCUACCAUGAACAGUCCAGCACUAACCCUUCUCUGAAUCUAGCUUCCGAGAUGCCAAGAAGAACAGACAGUGUUAACUUAGCUGCACAAAGCAUCUUUCUUUUGGAUAUAGCUACAAAGCAGGAGCCUUUCCUCUCCCCCAGCAAGACCACAACAAUUCCAUUAGUUACUGCAGAACUUGGGCUUUCCUGCUGUGUUGUCUUAAGGGUGGAAGAUGAAUUUUCUUUGCCAGCCCUGACCUUAAAGCCUUCCCUCUUUCAUAGCACAGAGACAACUCUGUCACUCACUCUUCCUGUUCCUGAGCCGAUCUCCUUCGAAUUGGAACAUGCCCUCUCGCCAUCAAUGACAGUGACCUAUCCUUCCUUGUCUGUAAGACCACAUCAAACCCUUCCUGUGUCUGCCAUCCUUCAAAAGUCUGUCCUUUUGGAAUUGGAGCCUGGAAUCUUUUCAGCAAGAGAACUGGAUGUUUCUUUAAAUGCUGGACAAGUAGAGUCUAUUCCCUUGGGACUGUGCUGUGCCGCUACUAGAACAGCAACUACUCUGCAGGAACCUUUUGAGCUGGAGGAUCUUUCUCCAGCUCCUUCAGCGCUAGAGCCCAGAUCUCCAGAAGACUUCCUACCAGCUGCAGAGGCUUCUUUCUUCCUCAUUAAUGAAGUUACUCCUUCCCUUGGAUUACAGAUGGCAAACACAAUUAAAAAUGAGAUGAUUCUGAGCUGUGCAUGCUCACAAGACAUGGCUAGCACUCCCAGACAGGAAGAUCCCUUACUCAUUGCUGGGCUGUCCUCUGGUUUGUAUAGUAGUCAUCAUGCAGGUUUGGAACACCAAGAGCCUCUUAAGCAGCUGCUGCUAGGAGAAAGAGAGGACAACUGCUUUGGUGCAACGUCUAGAGAAGAGGGAGAAAAAGGAGACACAGCAAAACCCUGGAACAUCAUAUCCAAGCCUAAACUCUGCUUUUCCCUUGAUAGAUUUACACUGAGCUCAAAUUCUGUUUUGAAUCAUUCUGUCCUGGAAAUGCCUCUCGUAUCUUUGCCAGCGAUGAGUAAAAAGAAGCAAUCCGCAAACAUAACUCAGUAUGAUCUUGUUACCUCUAGCACCAUCAUGAUUCCAUUCUUGCCACAGAAUGAGAUGCAGACUCCACCUCAGUUGCCUGUGCCCUUAGAAGUGAGAGAGGAGGGAGGAGCACAAAUCAAAGGGGCCAUAAAAUCCUGGGGAGAGCUUCAUAAUGCUAAAUGGCAAUGGGGGGCCAUGGAAUGUAUUGUUGCUGAUCUUGAUGCUCCAGGAACUCUCACUGAGACAUCAGUUCUGUGGGAUAACUUAGAUUUACUAGCUCUACAGGGACCAUCUAGCUUAGACAAUAAAAUGGCAUCCAAAGUAAGAGCACUUUUGAACUGUAGAGAGUUGGGGUUUCCUUGGCUACAGGUGUAUCUUCCUGUAAAAAGUUGCCAUGUUAUUUUGAAGAAUAAAGCAGGAACUUUUUCUCCUCCCAUUCUGAGCAGAAGCCAAACCAACAACUGGUGUAACUGGACCAUAUGGGCGGGUUCUCACAAACAUAUCUUGAUUUAUAUAGAAGGGUUUGAAGGGAACUCAAAUUGUGAAGAAAAUCAGGACAAGAUCAUAUUCCAAGGUGUCUCAUCAAGUGUUGAAAGCAAGAUAGCUUACUCUUGUAGAAACCAUAACACUUUGAUCUUUGCUGCACAGGCUGUAGCUGUCCAUGUAGUGUUUUUGUCAAAAUCUCCUUCUCAAAACCAUAGUCAUAAACACUUUAAAGGACGCUAUUUCAUAUUUGAAGAUUAUGAAAUGAAAGAACCUGUUUCAAAAUCUAACAGCAGUGCUGGAUUUCCCCGUAAGUCCGAUAUAAUGCACUCAGGGCAUAUUUUAGACUUUCUAAAGACAAACGGAACACCCAGCAAUGACAGUUGGCUACCAGUGACUACUAAAAAGAGCUGGAAGGAAAAUGGCAGUGCUAGAACCUCGGAAGCAGUCGUGAAACCAACUCUUAGUAACUACACACAAGUUUCUUUCAUGAAAUCAGAAGAAAAUGUAACCUCAAAUCCACUUGCUAUGAAGGCGAUCCAUGUUGCAAACCCAUCAGUUGAUGAUAUUAGAACUGGGAAUGAAUCUUCUUCUGGUAAUUUGAAGAAAAUGCUAGGUUUAGGAUCAAAUAGUUUGGAGAAUGAAGAAAAGCCAUUUGUGCAUGAUCUAUCUGUACUCCUUACCUCUACACAUGUGUCUCAGAAGCUCAAAAUGACAACAAAAUCAGCAGAAUGGAAAGAUCAUGAAACUACGACUGAAUCUGCCAGGCUUAAAAAUGGCGGGUACAUAACUACGCACCUAAUCACAACAUACAGUGAAGCUGUAAAAGCAAUGUUUGGAAAAGUUCCUUUCAAGAGUAGAAUUACUUUUCCACAAGUCUUAAUUGAAGAGCAGAGAACUCCAACUCUAUCCCCUAAAAGUAUUCUGGAGAAGGGGCAAAAUGAGUCCUUCCAAUCUAAUUCUGGACUCUCCAGGAAAAACGUAGAUGUGACUGAAUAUCAACAAGGUGUGAGACUAAGAGAAGCACUUGAAAGACAGCAUAUGGACAAUCAGGUCUAUAGACAAGAGAAGAGAAACAGUAAUGAGUACAUGGUAGCAGUUCUUGCAGGAAACAAUAAAUCUCAGCUUAUUACAGAAACACCCCAAAGUUCUACAAAUCAAACAAAACCUCAGCAGACCACCUUAGACUAUCCUAAUGUGUUGCAUGAUCUGUCUUUAAGAGCACUUAAUCAUAACCUUGUGGACACUGCUACCACUUUGAGCCCCCAAGGCAUUUUCUCACGUAGCCCAAAGCACAUUAAAGUGGGAAUGACUGAGAUUACACAUCCCAACAGUUCAGUGACCAGGUACAGAGAGCAACCCCAAAGGAAAUAUACGAGAGCAAAUCCUCCAUACUCCCCUUCUGUUUCAGUGUCAAGGAAUAAUACUUCCCUGAAUGUAGGAAAUAUUUCCUAUGAGAGAGAGUCUGUAUUCAGAGAUAAUGAAAAUGAUUCUGUUCUGCUGUCCCAGCACAAUCCAGGGGAUCUUCUGUUUGAAAUAGUUUUGGGUAUAGAACGCAAAGAAUGGAUCCCGCCUAUUGGAAGUAAUCAGGAAAAAGCCCUCAUAGAGUUCAUUAAGAGACAGGUUCAAGGGAAAGUGAGACCCUUCUCAAACCAAGUAAAAGAAAUCAAGUUAAAGGAAAUAAAAAGAAGGAGUGAAACUAGCUUUGAUAGACAAACAGACCCAGACCUGAUGCUUAUGUUUUGGUUGCAUCUAACGCCAAAGAAAAAGAAUGUAUCCUACUUAGUGCGUUCUCAGCUGGAAAAUCUUAGCAGUACAUCUAUGGAAUUUGGCAAGGUUCAGACAGUUUUGGUGACAGAUGUGAAUGAAUGCAGUUCUGGAAUUGGACUAUGUGGUGAUGAGGCAAUCUGCCUCAAUGGAUAUGGCACAUACUUAUGUAAAUGUAAAGAAGAUUAUGAAGAUCGCUCUGAGACAAAGUCAGGCACCCUGUGUAUUCGUAGUCCACGAUCAGGCCUGGGCUCCUUGUACACCUACACAGAGAUUCUUGUAGGAACUACUGUUUUUUUCAUCUCUGCCCUUGUAGUGGUAAUCAGUGUGCUGUGUACAAUCAUAAAGAAAAGACACACUAAGAAGGGCUUCCACUUUCAAGAAGCUGCUUCCCCUGGAACAUCGGAUGCAUCCGAGCUGCAACAGACAACCUUUGAUCAAAACAACAUCCAUCAUCUCCUCACUCUAGAUCCUACCCAGUUAAAACUCAGAGCCAAAGCACCAGAAUGGCCUUUAGAAGUGAGAACUGUUACCAGUGAAACAUACAGAGUAUCUAUUGAGCAAUCUGACUACUUAUAAAAAAAUUGCAAUACUAAAUUGCACUCCUUUUUUCCCCUUUAAUAUAAAGUUCUUUUCAUCUAUUGUGGAUACACAGACGGAGCUUUUUUUUUUCCCAUAGGAGUUGUUGCAGAAAUAUUUUAUUGUGCUGUUUUCUUUGUCAGGUUUCACUCUGUAGCUUAAUGAAAAUUUAACUGUUGUAAUAUAGUUUUGACUACUGUACUGUCUGGCUUUACACAGAUAUAAAAACAGGAUUGAAUCUAGCGACUGUCAGUGGUUAUUAACAAAGAUGGCAUCAUGCUCUUUAUGACUUAUUAGACCUUGGUUGAUAUUCAGGCGGGAUGCAUGGGUAAUUAAGAAGACAGGGUCAGAGUCAAAGUAGGUGUUCUGAGGGAAGCUGGGCUGCCCCCAAGAGUAGCCAGCCUGAGUCUCUUCUUUCCAGGAGUCUGUAGUCCUCCAGAUGUUGUGAGUCCAUGGCCACAGAGGCCUUCUUCUUUUUCAAGAUACUGUCAAGGAGCUGUGGGAAUAUUGUUGUUGCUGUUAACUUAGUAGCAGCUGACUUGUUGCUCAGUGAAUCAAAAACACCAGAAGCUGUCAUCCAGGGUUGAACAACUGGCCCCCUCCAGACAGUUUUGGCCUACAGUUCUCAUUAGUCGAUGAAGGAUGAUGGGAGUUGCACUUCCAAAAUAUCUGGAAGGCUACGGUUGCCCGUCCUGCCUCCCCUUCAUAAGCAUCCUCCACAGCUCAAAGACUUGUGUGGAUGUUCAGAACUUCCUUUCUCCACAGUUGAUUUACCUGACUAAAUGUGCACACUCAGCUGUCUCCACGGAACAAGCAUUGUCGGUUGAAUGUUCUGUUCUAAAUUCUGAGGGGAAUUAACACAAAUACUGAAGGAUUCCAGCGAGGCCGUUUGUUUCUUGACAUGACCUAAUGAGUGGGUUUGUGGAUGGGAUGCAGUUGCUGGAUUGGAGCUAGCAAAUGCAUCCCCCGACCCUGGAUGCAGUAUACGUUUCAUUGUAUAAAGGAGGAAGGACCUCAUAGGACUUGAAAGUCUGAGGCAACCAUUUGCUCUCAGUUCCCAGAUCCUAUUAAAAAUUUACUAAUAUCAGUGAAGGCACUUGAGCUACAUUGUCUCAGUGGUGAUCACAGUGUACUAUAACGGACAUCUGCCCUGUCAAAGUAUAAUAACAAUAACAAUAAAUAAUACCAUUUGCUCUCA
ensembl:lncRNA uncharacterized LOC110077512